UUGUUUUUCAUCUCGCCAGUUCUGUUCGAUCUCUCGUGUGUUUUGGAUGCCUGUUUCCGUCGUUUACUGGGUGAACAAAAUCGAUUGUUAGAAAAAAUUGAAUCGUAUAUUUAUCCGUCGUGGCGCACUGACAUGUGUUAGUCUGAAAACAUACGACUAAUUGCAAACCCGCGCGCUAGGAGACCGAAACCGUUGUUUCUCGUAAUUAUUAUAUAAGGUUGAUCACAUCGGAUCUGGUUUUUUUGUGUCCCUCUUAGCUGGGUGGCUAUUGUUUAUCUGCGGAACUCGGCGUGUCCUUGGGCUAACGAAAGUAAAACCUCUUCUGUCCCAGCAAGCAACUCCAGAGACAUGGCUGAUAAGGUGCGUGUUUGCAUUGUUGGCUCUGGAAAUUGGGGCUCGGCGAUCGCCAAAAUCGUCGGCGUCAAUGCCAAGCGGCUGCCAAAUUUCGAGGAUCGCGUCACAAUGUACGUGUACGAGGAGAUGAUCGACGGCAAGAAGCUCACAGAAAUCAUCAACACAACACACGAGAACGUCAAGUACCUGCCUGGACACAAACUGCCCGAGAACGUCGUUGCCGUUCCGGACGUGGUGGAAGCCGCCAAGGAUGCCGACAUCCUGAUCUUCGUCGUACCCCACCAGUUCAUCCGAGGGCUCGGUGCCCAGCUGUUGGGUAAGAUCAAAACCACCGCCGUCGGACUCUCGCUGAUCAAGGGUUUCGACAUUGCCGAGGGUGGCGGCAUGGAACUGAUCUCGCACGUCAUCACAAAGCAUCUGAAGAUCCCCUGCUCGGUGCUGAUGGGUGCCAACCUGGCCGGCGAGGUCGCCGAGGAGAAGUUCUGCGAGACUACGAUCGGCUGUCGGGACAUGAAGAUUGCCCAGGUGUUCCGGGAUUUGUUCCUGACGCCCAACUUCCGGGUGGUCGUUGUGGCUGACGUGGACGCGGUGGAGAUUUGCGGUGCCUUGAAGAACAUUGUGGCGUGCGGGGCUGGGUUUGUGGACGGUAUGGGACUGGGCGACAACACCAAGGCGGCCGUCAUUCGGUUAGGUUUGAUGGAGAUGAUCAAGUUUGUGGAUGUGUUCUAUCCGGGAAGUCAGCUGUCGACAUUCUUCGAGAGCUGCGGGGUGGCGGAUUUGAUUACUACGUGUUACGGUGGCCGUAAUCGCAAGGUGUCGGAGGCGUUCGUGAAAACCGGUAAAACAAUCAAGCAGCUGGAAGAUGAAAUGCUGAACGGUCAGAAGCUUCAAGGUCCGAUCACGGCCGAGGAGGUUAACUUUAUGCUGAAAAGCAAAGGAAUGGAAGAUAAAUUCCCCCUGUUCACGGCGAUUCACAAAAUUUGCACCGGCGGAAUCAAACCGCAGGGCUUCCUGGACUGCUUGCGAAACCAUCCAGAGCACAUCUUCGAAGCCAAGCAUUUGAUGAUUUGAAGAUCACCUUAUGUUUGCGUGUUGCAUGAUUGAGAAAGCUACCUGUAUUUUUCGUUCGUGCUUGUCUUCCAUCCCUCCACAAAUUCUCCUGAAGUAUCAACGCCAUCAUUCGUUGUUGUGUUCAUUUAGAUGUAUCAUCCAAACUCCAUAGAAGCAACGGGCGAAACUCUAAUUCCCAUCACUAAUCUAGCGCGGCACACAAAUCUCGCAAUUCGCUACCACAAUAACCUCCCUUCUUCAUGAUAUAGACAAACACGAAAAAGCCAUUCGCAGAGAAGAUGCGCCAUACUUUGUAUCAUGAUCUCUGACUAUAAGUCACAGGAGAUACAAAACGUAGCAAAAUAUAUUAACAAAUAAAUCAUUCAGUAGCGUGUCAUGUUGAACCAUAGAGCUUUGCUGAUAAUUUAAGAGAUUGCAAUAUAGGGAUCCCCAACUAAGUGAGCAAAUCACUCUAAGAACAUUUGCAUUUAUCCGUGUUCUUUCCAUUACUUUUUGUGUCACAUCGUAAGACAGAUAUUUAACGUAAAAAAAUCAUAAAUGGUGAAUAAAAUUUUCAUCCUAGACAAUAUUGCAUCCGAGCGAA